rnacentral:rRNA from 1 species
CCCUUAGAUGUCCUGGGCCGCACGCGCGCUACACUGAUGCAUUCAACGAGUUUUACCUUGGCCGAGAGACCUGGGCAAUCUUUUAAACCUGCAUCGUGAUAGGGAUAGAUUAUUGCAAUUAUUAAUCUUGAACGAGGAAUUCCUAGUAAACGCAAAUCAUCAAUUUGCAUUGAUUACGUCCCUGCCCUUUGUACACACCGCCCGUCGCUCCUACCGAUUGAAUGCUCAGGUGAGCCAUUCGGACUUUCAUCAUGCUGGUUUCCAGUUUUGAUGAAGGAAAGUCUUGCGAACCUUAUCAUUUAGAGGAAGGAGAAGUCGUAACA